GCCAGACUCCUACGGGAGGCAGCAGUGGGGGAUAUUGCACAAUGGGGGGAACCCUGAUGCAGCGACGCCGCGUGGGUGAAGGAGCGUUUCGGCGCGUAAAGCCCUCUCGGCAGGGAAGAAGGAGGACGGUACCUGACUAAGAAGCCCCGGCUAACUACGUGCCAGCAGCCGCGGUAAUACGUAGGGGGCAAGCGUUAUCCGGAUUUACUGGGUGUAAAGGGGGCGCAGACGGCAGCGCAAGCCAGGAGUGAAAGCCCGGGGCCCAACCCCGGGACUGCUCUUGGAACUGCGCGGCUGGAGUGCAGGAGGGGCAGGCGGAAUUCCUGGUGUAGCGGUGAAAUGCGUAGAUAUCAGGAGGAACACCGGUGGCGAAGGCGGCCUGCUGGACUGCAACUGACGUUGAGGCUCGAAAGCGUGGGGAGCAAACAGGAUUAGAUACCCCGGUACU
rnacentral:rRNA from 1 species